GAUGAACGCUGGCGGCGUGCCUAAUACAUGCAAGUCGAGCGAACGGACGAGAAGCUUGCUUCUCUGAUGUUAGCGGCGGACGGGUGAGUAACACGUGGAUAACCUACCUAUAAGACUGGGAUAACUCCGGGAAACCGGAGCUAAUACCGGAUAAUAUUUUGAACCGCAUGGUUCAAAAGUGAAAGACGGUCUUGCUGUCACUUAUAGAUGGAUCCGCGCUGCAUUAGCUAGUUGGUAAGGUAACGGCUUACCAAGGCAACGAUGCAUAGCCGACCUGAGAGGGUGAUCGGCCACACUGGAACUGAGACACGGUCCAGACUCCUACGGGAGGCAGCAGUAGGGAAUCUUCCGCAAUGGGCGAAAGCCUGACGGAGCAACGCCGCGUGAGUGAUGAAGGUCUUCGGAUCGUAAAACUCUGUUAUUAGGGGAGAACAUAUGUGUAAGUAACUGUGCACAUCUUGACGGUACCUAAUCAGAAAGCCACGGCUAACUACGUG
rnacentral:rRNA from 1 species